GGGGAUAUAGCUCAGCUGGGAGAGCGAUACGUUCGCAACGUAUAGGUCACGGGUUCAAAUCCCGCUAUCUCCA
rnacentral:tRNA from 2 species